rnacentral:rRNA from 1 species
CCUACGGGAGGCAGCAGUGAGGAAUAUUGGUCAAUGGCCGGAAGGCUGAACCAGCCAAGCCGCGUGAGGGAGGAAGGCGCAGAGCGUCGCAGACCUCUUUUGCCGGGGGACAAAAGGCCGGACUCGUCCGGUCCUGAGGGUACCCGGAGAAAAAGCAUCGGCUAACUCCGUGCCAGCAGCCGCGGUAAUACGGAGGAUGCGAGCGUUAUCCGGAUUUAUUGGGUUUAAAGGGUGCGCAGGCGGGCCUUUAAGCCGGCGGUGAAAUCGCGGGGCUCAACCCCGCCGAGCCGUGGGAACUGGGGGCCUUGAGUGCGGCGGAGGCAUGCGGAAUGCGCGGUGUAGCGGUGAAAUGCAUAGAUAUCGCGCAGAACCCCGAUUGCGAAGGCAGCGUACCGGCUCCACACUGACGCUGAGGCACGAAAGCGUGGGUAUCGAACAGGAUUAGAUACCCCUGUAGCC